AUUGAACGCUGGCGGCAGGCUUAACACAUGCAAGUCGAGCGGGGGAAGGUAGCUUGCUACUGGACCUAGCGGCGGACGGGUGAGUAAUGCUUAGGAAUCUGCCUAUUAGUGGGGGACAACAUCUCGAAAGGGAUGCUAAUACCGCAUACGUCCUACGGGAGAAAGCAGGGGAUCUUCGGACCUUGCGCUAAUAGAUGAGCCUAAGUCGGAUUAGCUAGUUGGUGGGGUAAAGGCCUACCAAGGCGACGAUCUGUAGCGGGUCUGAGAGGACGAUCCGCCACACUGGGACGGAGACACGGCCCCGGCUCCUACGGGAGGCAGCAGUGGGGAAUAUUGGACAAUGGGGGGAACCCUGAUCCAGACAUGCCGCGUGUGUGAAGAAGGCCUUAUGGUUGUAAAGCACUGUAAGCGAGGAGGAGGCUACUUUAGUUAAUACCUAGAGAUAGUGGACGUUACUCGCAGAAUAAGCACCGGCUAACUCUGUGCCAGCCGCCGCAGUAA
rnacentral:rRNA from 1 species